ACGGAAGACCAUGCCGUGAGAAGAUAUAUUAGUCUUGUGAUACAAUUUUGGUCGUAUUAUCGGGAACCAUAUGUACAACGAAACAUCGUCAUCUCCACUCGACUUUAAUACACUGUGACGCCAAGAUGGGGAAUUCUCCAAGUAAAGACGCGAACAAGAAAAGAAACGGCAACAAUUCAAAAGAUGGCUGCCCUAUGGAGGAAAACUAUGAUGAGGAAACGCCCACGCCCACGCGUGAAGUGCUACCCACGCUUAAGGUCGACUUCUUGCCGUAUUCCACCGACUGCCAACCUCUCGUCGAAAAUCAAGAAAAAAGGCAAACGUUCAUCGUCACAGCCCACCCCAAAGACCACACCUAUCAGUACGCCCACGGCGAAAAACAAGUUUGUGACAACGCCCACGUCCACACCGAAAGUGACGACCAAGUUUCAGUCCACUUCAAGUAUUACACCAGAAACAAAGAACAAGCACAAGUCGACGCCUACAAGCACACCCAACGUUAAAAACAAGUUGAGGUCAGCGUCCAGUUAUAAAGCGAACUCCUUGCCCACGCCCCAGAUAAAGGUGGAAUGGCCCAAGUCGGAAGGACCACCAAUUGUCGGCCGGAUGAUUGAGGAAAAAGGUCGUGUCCACUCAGCGACCGUCUCCGCUGUCAACCCCACCGCCAGAAGUGUCACAGUAGAGUGGUUUGAAAAAGGCGAAACGAAAGGAAAAGAGAUCGAGUUCGAUGCUGUGUUCGCCCUCAAUCCUGAUUUGGCGCCCCAGGACCAAAAUGCCAUGCCACCGCCUUCAAAAUUUGACGACGAGGACGAGGAGUCCAGCUUGUCCGAGGCAGAUCUAAGUGACUACGUGUCAGGACUCAACGUUGGGCGAGCGGUGAGAGGGUCUGGACGAUUCCUGAGAUCUUCCCACACUCACAGCAACGUUCCAGCCGCCUAUCACCCACAGCGGCCUCCUUCCGCCCACACGUCACAUCUGCCACGUCCUCCUGGGCACCAGGUGGCUCGCUCUCAGUCAGCCUCCAGGCUCACCAUGGAUGAUGAUGGUGAUGAUGUGGAUGAUGAUGAUGAUGAUGAUGAUGAUCCUCCUUAUUCCCGGCAGUCACAGAUCACCCAGCCUGCAGCAGCACCAGUCACAAGAAGCAAAGAUGUGAACAGACCCCGCCCUAGCUACCUUGUGAAACCACCCCAGAAUGGAGAACUCCGAUCAAAUUUGCAAAACAAGAUUGGCCAAGCACCUGCCAGAUCCACAGAAAAUAUUUCUACAUCCACUGUGAGCAAAGCCUCAUCUGUACCAGCUUCUCGGCGCCGAAGUAAUGUGGUGAAGGAAGUGGAUCGUAUUCAGAAGAAACGAGAGGAACGUAGAAAACAGCAAGCGGAGAAAAAAGAAGAGAAAGAAGCACUAAUGAACCUCGACCCAGGAAACCCUCAGUGGGAGUUUCUCAAUAUGAUUCGAGAGUUCAGAUCACAGCUAGAAUUUCGAACACUGAAAGAUGGUGAUCCUCUAGAAGAACAUCAAAUUACAGUUGCUGUCAGAAAGAGACCACUUAACAAAAAAGAGCAGAGCAAACGAGAAAUAGAUGUUAUCACCAUUCCUAACAGAAAUAAUCUUUAUGUUCAUGAACCACGAUCCAAAGUAGACCUAACAAAAUAUCUAGAAAAUCAGAAUUUCCAGUUUGAUUAUGCAUUUGAUGAAUCCUGCAAUAAUGAACUUGUUUACAAGUAUACAGCAAGACCACUAGUUCAAACAAUUUUUGAAGGUGGCAUGGCUACUUGCUUUGCUUAUGGCCAGACUGGGUCUGGAAAGACCCACACAAUGGGUGGAGAUUUUCAGGGCAAGAGUCAAGAUUGUGCAUCAGGAAUAUAUGCGAUGGUGGCAAAGGAUGUAUUUAUCUUCACCAAGAACCCAAAGUUUAGACAUCUUAAUUUACAAGUUUCGGCAAGUUUUUUUGAAAUCUAUGGUGGUAAGGUUUUUGAUCUCCUAAAUAGCAAGACUAAGCUGCGGGUGUUAGAAGAUGGCAAAAAUGUUGUUCAAGUGGUAGGUCUACAAGAACGUGUAUGUGAGUCUGUAGAUGAUGUCCUCAGACUCAUCAAUUUAGGUUCUCAAGUGCGAACUUCUGGUCAAACUGCUGCCAAUAAUCAGUCCUCACGUUCUCAUGCUGUCUUCCAGAUCAUUUUAAGAAAUUUGGAUAGAAUAGAGAAGCAAGGAGAUAAAUCUUACAAACUUCAUGGCAAGUUCUCUCUCAUUGACUUGGCUGGUAAUGAGAGGGGAGCAGACACCUCAAGUGCUAACAGACAAACUCGAAUGGAAGGUGCAGAAAUCAAUAAAUCUCUAUUAGCUCUUAAAGAAUGUAUCCGUGCUUUGGAUCGCAAAGGAUCACAUUUACCAUUCCGAGUCUCUAAAUUAACCCAAGUGCUACGUGACUCCUUCAUCCGAGACAAGAGUAAGACAUGUAUGAUUGCCAUGAUAUCUCCAGGAAUGAACUGCUGUGAGCAUACAUUGAAUACAUUAAGGUAUGCUGACCGUGUAAAAGAAUUGGGAUCCUCUGAAAAUUCUGAGGGAAAUUACAAAUCUUCACCAUCAGAAAAAGAACCCGAUGAAAAUGGUACCAGUGAUGCUGGCUACUCAAGACUAUCAAAUCUAAAUGAUAACGAGAUGAGUGCAGAUCAGCAGGCAUUCCAGGUUGCCAUGGGUGCUCUUCAAGAAGCAGAGGAGGAAGUGGUAGAUCUACAUGGUCAAUACUUUGCUCACCGAGAUAAAAUGGACAAAAUGCUGAUUCCUCUUUACCAGAUGACUAAUGAAGUAGACUACGAUGUAGAUGCAUAUACACAACAGCUGGAAGAUGUUGUUUUGGAAAACAUGGAAUGGUGGACCCAGCUGCGGGAACGUGUGGUGAAAUUGCGGCACCAGCUAGUGGAGGAGGAAAACCUAUCACGUCGUCAACAAGUAGCUCUGAAAACAUCUAGCAUCAAAUAACCAACCCUAAUGCAAUUACUGAUGCUAAUUGAAAACUUGAAGAGGAAAAUGUCAUAAAAUCUACAAGGAAUGCUCCUCUCGUCAACAACUCAUAAUUUUAGAAAUGUCGUGUCUCGAGGUUUUUGUGUUAUCUUGCCUCCAUAUGCUCUGCAGCUGUGCCACUCAUUUCAAUAAAAAAAAAUUUCAAUACAAACCUGCACUUCAGUUUACACACACACACACGCAUACACACACACACACACGCAUACACACACACACACACACACACACACACACACAGUAUAUGGCCUGAUAGCAUUAGGCUUAUUUGGAUUUGGCAAAGAUUAUACUGUACUAUUUUAAAAAUUAUCAGUCCAGUCUCAAAUAUCUAUACUCUUGUCAAAACUGCCUGCUUGAUGGUGCUUUGAAGUGGUGGCAGGCAGAGUGAUGUAUUUAUGUGCUAAUGGUUAUUUUUACUUAAUAACUGUACUAUAUCUGUAAAGAACACUAUUAUCUAACAUCAUAACAGUUCAGAGGUAAAGGUUUGUGUUGAAUAAACAAAAUAUAUUGCUUCAUAAAAGCUGUUUGGUUAUAUUUGUUUUGUAAAGUUAACCUGAUUUUUGUCAUUGUUUAAAAUAAUAUUUUUAAAUGCCUUAAUGUAAAGAAAUACCUAAUGUAGAAGACACAGCAUAGUAACAUGAACUUGUGAAUGUUAAUGUUGCAGUUUAUGAAGUUCUCUUUUUAACACAUCAAUAAAAGCACAAAUUAAUGCAAAA
rnacentral:misc_RNA from 1 species